GACGAACGCUGGCGGCGUGCCUAAUACAUGCAAGUUGAGCGCUGAAGGUUGGUACUUGUACCAACUGGAUGAGCAGCGAACGGGUGAGUAACGCGUGGGGAAUCUGCCUUUGAGCGGGGGACAACAUUUGGAAACGAAUGCUAAUACCGCAUAAAAACUUUAAACACAAGUUUUAAGUUUGAAAGAUGCAAUUGCAUCACUCAAAGAUGAUCCCGCGUUGUAUUAGCUAGUUGGUGAGGUAAAGGCUCACCAAGGCGAUGAUACAUAGCCGACCUGAGAGGGUGAUCGGCCACAUUGGGACUGAGACACGGCCCAAAACUCCUACGGGAGGCAGCAGUAGGGAAUCUUCGGCAAUGGACGAAAGUCUGACCGAGCAACGCCGCGUGAGUGAAGAAGGUUUUCGGAUCGUAAAACUCUGUUGGUAGAGAAGAACGUUGGUGAGAGUGGAAAGCUCAUCAAGUGACGGUAACUACCCAGAAAGGGACGGCUAACUACGUG
rnacentral:rRNA from 1 species